GCUGGCAUUUGCUUCAUGUGGACAAAGCACAGAAAGUUUUCCAAAUCCAUUUCAGAAUAUCAGAUGCCCUUAAAGGUUUGAAAGGACUUAUCAGUCAGCAACUUUGGAAGAGCAUUUCAAACCCACUGCCAAAUUAAUGGGUCAGCUAAAUAGAAAGAAUAAGGGAACAGAUGGCAGAAAUUUCCCAAGGGAGAAAAGAGAAUUACUAGAGAAGAUCAGGAUCAGACCUGCACAGGUGAUCAUGAAAUCGAAAUGCCUGGAAACUCAAUUUCUCAAGGUCGAUAUAACCCAUGCCUAGACUUGGUGUGAGAACCAUAUGGAAGGGAAGAAGUAUCCCAGGCCCAAGAUACAAGUUUAUGGAUUGCAAGACAGGAGGCCAAACACCAAAACAGCAUCUAACAAAAGUGCUUUUUCUGUAGGAGGAGGCAAUACAACAUUUUGCCUCAGAAGAAUCUUAUUGGCCCUUCCUGGAUACUGGGUUGUAGGAAGAACUGAUGAAUGCUCCCUGCUGUGAGAGGACAACUCUUCCAUCAAAGAGAGUGACCGUGGUUUUUUUGUUCCUGAGGACUCCUUUCUUCCCUCACAUGCUGCUUAUCUGGGUGAAGAAUCAUGGCUGGAAUUUAUAAAUGCUUCUCUGUUGUGCAAAGGAGCUUUGAUAGCAUGAAAUGAAUAACAGGACAAUGAUUGCUGUCUGAACAGGCUGGCCUCAUGGGGGCAGGUUUCAAGUGGCUGCUGUGUGGGAUACUGGCAGCAUGUGGAAUACAGGGCCUGAAGGAGAUGCUCAGCACCCAGCAUUACAGGAUUCUGCUUUUUUCUUGACUUUGGUUCUGCUUUUUAAACACUGACCCCAGGAGAAGCUCUGCAGCAUGAGAAGGUUAUUAUGGGACUGGACACUUUGAGUGCCUUGGGAAAGCUCUUCUGCUCUUUGUCCUUUGGAAUACAGAGAAAACCAGCUAGAGCCCCAAAAUGGCUUUUAUUUGCACCUACCUGCUGCCUCUCCAUCUCUUCCAGCUGAGAACUCAGGACACUGUAGCCCAGAGGAGGAAAACUCUGUAGAGGACACAGAACAGCCUAUGCAUAUCAUCAGCUUGAAGAAGAUACCAAAUGAUCCCAUUAUCAAGGUGAUAUAUACAUUAACACAAGUUUCAGCACUAUAGUCUUUCCUAUUUAAUAGCUAAGAAUAGAACAGAAGAUAAUUAUCUAAUUUGCUUCAGGGCAGUGAAUUAGAUAAUGGAGAGUAAGCUCAGUGCAAAGAGUAAGUGCAAUCAGACAUCCAUGUGCAUGGAGAUCUUUCUGAAGCAGAAUGUAACCUUGUUCACAAAGAGUAGAUUCCUUAGUGCUAUUAUCCUGCUGAACACAAAGAGUUAGCCAGGAUGUUAUUUUGUUAUGCUCUUGUCUCGUUGUUGAUCUUUCCAAAGAGACAGAUCACAAGAAUCUAGGUCUUGAACCACAAUCUAGGUCUUGAACAACUCAAGAAGCAUAGUUUGAAGAAUUGUGGACGUGCAUAAACUGUUGUAAAUGGCAGGGCAAUGAUUCCAUUUUUAGAAAAGAAAUGUGACUAUGUGACUGCCAUUAUUAUUGUUUGUUUAAGAGUCCUGCAGUUUCUUCACAAUUUGUACAGAUGUGUUCAAUUUCAGUCGUUUGCCCUGUCAGUUUUUCUGAUACAUGGUACAUCAUUUUCUUUAAGACGCCUAAGUGGUGGUGAUUAGUGGUGUGUGAUGAAUGAGCAAGGAAACUUUACUUUAAAAGGAAGAAUUCUCUAUGUGUUUUAUAUGUGAAAGUAAAAUGUAGACUCUCUAUUGUAAAUUAUAUGUUGCUGUAGUUCCUGCUUCAUGUUAUGUUGAAACACCACAGCCCAAACAACACUGAACAUGUGUGAUGGCUGUAAGAUGUUAAAGUAGGAGCAGAGAGCCAUAUAUCAGUGUCAACAUCCUUAACAUCCAGUCAUUUAAUCCCUGGCAGCCUCUGGUACAAGUUAGAUUACCCUGGAAAUAUGUGUGCAGUCUCUCUCUUUUAGCAGGAUGUCCAUGUAAGUAUGAGCUUUCUGAUGUAAAAAUAAAAAACAAACUGCAUUUUAAAAGCA